GCUGAGGCAGGAGGCUGUUAUGUUUGAAGCUAGCCUGCUCUAUGACGUGGGGACUCUGUGAUACAGUGCGUCAGGGGAAUAGGUUACAGAGACGAAGGAUAAGCUUUGUUGACAUGGGAGAGACACCCACGGGUAAGUCUGGCAAAUGUUCACAGUGUCCAGCAAGAAGAGCCGCUUUCUGGGCGGUGCCUCUCCUCUUCCCGUACGCCCUUCCUUAUUUCCUAAUCACGGCUGGGAAAAACCGAAUGAACGCCAGCCACGGCCAGGAGACGCUGCGGGUGGGCGCGAUGGCGAUGCUGAAGCAAAGCACCCCUGACCAGCACAGCUGGACCACGACUGCACCAUGAGGCAGCCCCUGGAUGUCCCUCGACCUCACAGCCCCAGCCAUGCAGGCAGACUGCAAAAUGGUUCAAAGUGUCUGUCACAUACCAGGUGCGCCCACUCUGACUCUGCCAACUUAGUGCUGCGGGAGCAGGUGUCAAACCCGAUGGAAUGUCAUCGUCAUCGGGACAACGGAUGCCAAGGCCUGCCCGUUCAUCAGGGGCUCUCAGGCACUUCUCUAUCCGGGCCCCAGCAUUCCAGGAGGACCUGCUCGCUCGGCAUUAUCAGCAGGCUCCGCCAGAGAUAAGCAGCCUUAAUGCGACCCGCUAAUGGUAUUAUUUUAGGGACCACUCAAAGGACAUGUUGGAAUGGAGGCCCGGGGCCACCUGUCAUUCUUUCUGUCACCGACACCCUAAACAGGUCAAACAAAGACCAGCACUUGUACACGGAGGGGGUGGGGGCAUGGGAGCACGCACCUCCGAACGACUGGAAAGAAUUCUCAAGCUGAAAACAGCCCCUCCCAAGAAGCAGCGGGGGCGGGGAAAAGAAUGUGCUCAGAAAGCCUCCGCCCCUCACAGCACUCCUGGGUGAACAACUCCCACGCUGCAGCCAGGGUAACCGUACAGGGCGGAGGCAGAAGGCUCCUACCACGCAACUCUGUGUUGAGGAGACGUGUUAAAGCCUGCUCAGACAGACCUCUGGCCGUCUCUGGCUUCUGUUAGGAAGGGUCAGGGCUCACAUGUGUAAUUCUCUGCUUCCUUCAGUGGCUGAAACCAUUUUUUUACGCAGCCUUAACUGUUAGUUAAGCUGAACGCUCACCAUCAAACGUCAGGUGGGAAGGUGCAGACCUCUGAGCUCAUGGCGGCCAGGCUCCAUGCCCCGCCAUCCUCCACCACCCUCCCACAGCCUCC
rnacentral:lncRNA from 1 species